GUGGGGAAUAUUGCACAAUGGGGGAAACCCUGAUGCAGCAACGCCGCGUGAGUGAAGAAGUAUUUCGGUAUGUAAAGCUCUAUCAGCAGGAAAGAAAAUGACGGUACCUGACUAAGAAGCCCCGGCUAACUACGUGCCAGCAGCCGCGGUAAUACGUAGGGGGCAAGCGUUAUCCGGAUUUACUGGGUGUAAAGGGAGCGUAGACGGUUUUGCAAGUCUGAAGUGAAAGCCCGGGGCUUAACCCCGGGACUGCUUUGGAAACUGUAGGACUAGAGUGCAGGAGAGGUAAGUGGAAUUCCUAGUGUAGCGGUGAAAUGCGUAGAUAUUAGGAGGAACACCAGUGGCGAAGGCGGCUUACUGGACUGUAACUGACGUUGAGGCUCGAAAGCGUGGGGAGCAAACAGGAUUAGAUACCCUAGUAGUCC
rnacentral:rRNA from 1 species